rnacentral:rRNA from 1 species
AUUGAACGCUGGCGGCAUGCCUUACACAUGCAAGUCGAACGGCAGCACGGGAGCAAUCCUGGUGGCGAGUGGCGAACGGGUGAGUAAUAUAUCGGAACGUGCCCAGUAGUGGGGGAUAACUGCUCGAAAGAGCAGCUAAUACCGCAUACGACCUGAGGGUGAAAGGGGGGGGAUCGCAAGACCUCUCGCUAUUGGAGCGGCCGAUAUCAGAUUAGCUAGUUGGUGGGGUAAAGGCCUACCAAGGCAACGAUCUGUAGUUGGUCUGAGAGGACGACCAGCCACACUGGGACUGAGACACGGCCCAGACUCCUACGGGAGGCAGCAGUGGGGAAUUUUGGACAAUGGGGGCAACCCUGAUCCAGCCAUGCCGCGUGAGUGAAGAAGGCC